rnacentral:rRNA from 1 species
AGAUUGAACGCUAGCGGGAUGCUUUACACAUGCAAGUCGAACGGCAGCGCGGACUUCGGUCUGGCGGCGAGUGGCGAACGGGUGAGUAAUAUAUCGGAACGUGCCCAGUAGCGGGGGAUAACUACGCGAAAGCGUGGCUAAUACCGCAUACGCCCUACGGGGGAAAGGGGGGACCGCAAGACCUCUCAC